rnacentral:sRNA from 1 species
UUGAUAGCCCCAGAAACAGAAGCCUUCUGCUUGUAGGACAGAUGCUACAGUGGGGGUGGCAUUGCAAGCUUUCCCCCUGCAUCAGUAUGGAAGGGACCCCCUAUAGGGACGAUAGGGGAGUUCAGUCUCCAUAGUCCAUUCGAUGCUUGGCUUCU